rnacentral:tRNA from 1 species
GGCGGGGUAGCUCAGUUGGUGAGAGCACACGGUUCAUACCCGUGGUGUCGCUGGUUCGACUCCAGUUCCCGCUA